rnacentral:lncRNA from 1 species
CAGCAAUUGGCUAAGGGGCUGCGGCUUUCCGAACCCUCUCUCCCGCCCGUGACUAUGAAUGGACAUCGGCGUUGUCAGUCACCCGUACUGCGCCGCAACCAGGCCCUUGGCCGGUCUUUCUGUCUUUCUUUCGUCGCUGAUUCCUACCUCAUCCUGGGCAAGUUCAGGGUAGCACUUGGGAGCAGAGGAGCUUCGGCAAGGAAAGUCAGCCCGCAUGGCCCUAACGUGACCGUCGGUUAUGGGAGGGUUUUAGGCCUAGGAGGAGCGUGGAAAGCGCACAGAGGAACUAAGGCUUUGCUACCGUUGGUCCAGGCGGACUGUGAGCCUCCAGUUCAAAAGCUGGACAGAGUUGGCGGCAGCGAAAACCGAGGAAUCCCAGCUGCGUCCUUAUCUUCUUCUUCCCACCCCAGGUCAAAGGCGCGCUUCGCAGAGCCCCAGGGCACGCGGUGCUGCAUGGGCCACGGUCCACGGAGGUAGGAGAAGGCCUGGGGUGCCAACCGCAGGGAACUUGAUGGGGCUGGAAGGGGACAGGGAGUUCCGGAAGAGGCCAAGAGUCGAAGCCUCAGCCGGUUACUCCCACGCCCCUACCUCCACAGGCCGGUAGGGGUAAGUCACCCGGGCCCUCUAGUCCGACUCUCAGCGGGCCGACACGGGCGGGCAGAGGGACCAGGAUGCUGUGGCCCUACGCCUUGCGCUCUGAGGCAUCACCGUCGGCCAAGACCCUAGCGGCAGCGGUUCCUGUCCCUCUCUGCGACCGUCCUCACGGCUGUGGCCGACCGGCUGCCCUGUGCCUCGGCGUCCCCCGCCAGCGUUCCGGGCUGGGAGCGUGGCCCAGGGCAGAGACAGGGGAGGGGAGGUGGCGCGCGCGGAAGAGAGGAAGAUAAGGGAGAGAGGCGGCUGGGGAGCCAGGCUGGCAGGAGCUGACCUGCGCCCUCAGCCUGGCUGGCAACCGGCCCUCCAUAGCAACGGCCUGCCAGAGCCUGUGGGCGCGCGCGUUUGUGCGCGCGCGCGCGAAUGUGUGCGGUGAAGAUCUGAGCCUUCCCAGUCCCUGGGUAACAGAGGCUGAACAGGAUCGCACAAUCCCGGGUCGGGGACCGAGGAGUCCCCUUCAGGAGGGAGGCUCAGCUUUGCAGGUGCGGCUGGCGCCUUAGGGCCCGGGAUCCCUCUCGGCCCGGGGUGGGGAUGCGCCCAUCUCAAGCUCGGUUUCAGGGUCCCGGGGCUCCUGGCCUCCUGCCCAAACCUCCUGUUGCAGCCGCAGGAUCAGGGAAUUGCGCGUGGUGCGGCUCGAGCGAGCGCCUGAGAUCUGGCCCGGAGCGUGCGCCCCCGUCGGCUGGCUCCCCAGAGCCCAGAGGGGCUGAGCGGAACAGGCCGAGCGACCCGUGGCCACCCUCCGCUGGGAACCUGCUCGCCGGCCUCAGGCGCUCCUCUUGUCCUCCAGCCACGUGGGGUUCCCUGCUGGCCCAGCCGCAUCCCGCAGCUCAGUUUCGGAGAACCGCGUGAGGACCCGGCAGUGGGCCCCAGGAUCCUGAAGCCACCGAAUACAGGCUGAACCCCAGAGUAGGGCAUGCAGCUCCAGGCCAGAUGGCCAGCUUUGUGUUCUCCACAAAUUGAUGUGACUUGACAAGUAAGUGAGUAAAAAAUUAUUUCACGUAGUUUUCUGUCGUCCCAAAGGAUCCUACUUUCAUGUCAAAGCACCACACUAGAUUAGACCUGAACUGAAAAACCCAGUCUUUCCAACAAGUGGAGGAAGGAUGGGCUCGGAGGUGGCUCAAUGUAAGUUGGAUUUUGGUCACUUUCAAAAGAGUGAGAUGGCUUUAAAGGCACCAUAGAAAAGUACGUCCCCCCCCCCCCCCCCCGGCUUCCCCUGUGGUGGGCAGUGACUUGCCGUGGACAGCCCUGACCCAUGGCCCCUGCUUCCCAUGGACAGCCUCCAGGAUUCUGCUUGAUCCCACACCAUGCUGGUCAGUUCCCAAGGGGAAAGACAGACUCUCCAAGAAAUUCAGGAAAAGAAGUGUUUGUAAUUUAAGUGGGGACCCAUUUAGCCUGCUGCUUCAGAAACAGCCCUAUCUGAGAUACCACUGUCCCCAAAACUGGGCGUGAAAACCAAGACCUCUGGGAUCCUAAAGGAGUCAUGGGACUUACGGCUCUGGCCGUCCCUGUAGGCGAUGCCCAUAGACUAUGGUGGGGUGCUGGUGCCCUGUGAGAACCUCUGUCUGGUAGCUUGUGAAUGUGGACAUGGGAUGGGACAUAGAUAGGAAGUGGUCAUCUACAUGGGUCACUCACAUCCACUAGAGAGACUGGAACAGGAUGAACACGGGCAGCUGUGCUUGGCUGCUCAGGGGGCACCCAUGUUUAGUCCUGAACCCCAAGAUGGGGUGGUGGUGCUGGGGAGCAAGCGACAGCCCAGCUCCUAGGGUUGGCACCCCAAGGAUGCCAGCUCUGGCACUGUCAAUACACAUUCGAGGUCCCACGCAUGGUGAGCGUCUGCACUGCCUUGGCCUGUUCCUCUCUCUGGCCACCACACCACCUUCUGGACCCAGGAGAAAGGCCUUUCCCCGCAGCCUGGACCUCCUCAAGCAUCACUUCCUGUGGACACGCAGCUGUGCAUCACGUCACCCCAGUGAGCCCCAGCCCGACUUCUUCUGUGGGCUGGCAGCCCAUACCCUGCAGGGCUGGUGCACAGCUAUCAGGAGCAAGGACCCUGGCUACCAAGCGAAGACCGUGAGCUGCUCCUGCCAUCGUGUAACCCUGGGAUGAUAGUGUAGC